ensembl:lncRNA
AUGCACCAUGCUGACCUGCAAAAUGAGCCCUUCAUCGUGGUGUUGCCCAAUGUUUGUGUACAGCACUUCUGUGCCUGGGAUGGAUCUGUGAACACCAAAGGACAGGACACAAACACUGACAACAGUGCCAGGGUGAGCCCACAUUUUGGGAGGAGGAGACCAGAACAGCACACAGUGCUCAUGAAAGACACAGAGAAAGCAGCUCAGAAAGGAGCAGCUACAGAAAGAAGCAUCAUCCUGGGGAAUCUGCUUUUGGAGGAGACACUGGUAGGACCGUGAGACCUUAAUUUUGAGAGGGCUGUGGUAAGAUCAAAGUUUAAAAAAAUCACAAAGCAGUAAAUGAAACACAGGCAGAAACAUAAUUUGUCAAAUCCUGCGAUACCAGGAGUAGGGGGCAUUUGGUAAAUCUGGGGAGAGUGCUCCAGAGCUUAGAAAAAGAAGUGCUGCUUUUAUCUAACAGGUAUUUAAUGUCUGGAACUUGCUGCUGUGACAAACCUUGGUCACUGGCUUCAGCACCAGGGGGAUGUUGAAAACGUGAGGCUGUGUUCACUAAUAACUGUCAUCAGAAUAUUUAGUGUUUUCUUGCAUGAUCCAUGUACGGAAUUUGAAGGCAAGUGUAAUUAAUCCAAGAUGUACAUAUGUUUAUAUAGUGUCUGAGCUCUGGCUGGUGCUGACAGGUUUAUGAGAAGUGAAAUAUUACUCCUUAUAAAAGGAUUUAUUUUACUUUUUAAGGAGCCAGUCGGGAAGUUUAAUCUGAUUAUUUUUCCCCAGUGCAAGACUACACAGACUAUUUUGCUUUUCCUGCUGGCAACUUUGCUGCUCCAGCCUGAGCAGGACAAGCACUGAAGCUCCACAACAGUUUCACUAAUGACACAACAACGAUCUGGGUAGAACAGGCAAAGGGAAGACACUUCACCAUUUGGGAGAAAAGACACAUAGUAUAUAUGGGAAUAGCUUUCAGCCACUAAGAAAUUAUUAGGAGAACUAUAUAUUGAAUAUAUAUAUUGGCAAGAACAUGGGGACCAGCUUCAUCAGCUACACAAGUCUUAUCUAACUCCAUACUGGGUGCUGAACAUGCCAUGGAGCCAGAGGAAAGAAAUUGCAUUGGUUAUGCUGCCUGAAUUAAAAAUGUCAUUAUAAAGGGGAUGAAAUUAAGACUGCAAGUGCAUUUUCUAAUUUAUUUUCUACCAUUCUUUUAAUGUGAAUGCUUAUUAUAGUAAUAAUUUUAAAAGUUAUGCAAAUUCAGGGAGAAAGAAAGUGUAUGAUGAGCUCUAUGUAUGCACAGCAGGCACUGUAACAAUUAACUUGAUCGCUGACAAGCUUCUCACAUAUUUGUGCCUCCAAUUCUGAUGUUCACUGAAAAAAAAAAAAAAGGUAUAUAAAGAAACAAGAUAAACUGUGGCAUAAAUCACCUUGAAAAUGCACUUUGUGUGACCUUGGAUGCUUUUGAUUUUGUCUGUUGACCUUCAGGAAGAGGAUAAACAGAGCUCUGCUCUUUACUUUCCCCUGAAGCUGAUUAGUUGUGUGUGGAUAUAUAAAUAUCAGGAGGCCAAUACAAUGUAGCCCUUCAGAGACUUAAUAUUUAUUGGUAACACUUUUUUUUCAAAUAAAUAAUCAGAUUUAUAUUCA